AGCGUUAACCAAAACCGGUGUUGUUUUACUAAAACCGGUAAUUUUACAAUCUUUUUCUACCGUUUCAGAGAAGUUACAAGUCGAGACAGCGCGUAGCUGAACUAUCUUCUUAUUUGGACUACCUCAAUGAUAAAUACGAAGGCCAGGGUGUUUUGAAAGUAGA